ACGGAAUAGAUACCCGGGUAGUCCUGGCCGUAAACGAUGACCACUAGAUGCACGCGGGCUCGACCCUGGGUGUGUCGCAGUUAAACGCACUAAGUGGUCCGCCUGGGGAGUACGGUCGCAAGACUAAAACUCAAAGGAAUUGACGGGGACCCGCACAAGCAGCGGAGCGUGUGGUUUAAAUUCGAAGCAACGCGAAGCACCUUACCAGGGCUUGACAUGCUCUUGCACCAGCGGUAAUGCGCUGUCUCCUUCGGGAGCGGGAGCACAGGUGCUGCAUGGCUGUCGUCAGCUCGUGUCGUGAGAUGUUGGGUUUAAGUCCCGCAACGAGCGCAACCCCUGUGGUUGGUUGGAUGUUCUCCAGCCAGACUGCCGUGAGCAACACGGAGGAAGGUGGGGAUGACGUCAAGUCAGCAUGGCCCUGACGUCCUGGGCGACACACACGCUACAAUGGCCGGUCCAACGGGAAGCCAACCCGCGAGGGGAGCGGAUCCCAGCAAACCCGGUCUCAGUUCAGAUUGCAGGCU
rnacentral:rRNA from 1 species